GAGGAGGAGAGAAGGGAACAGGAGGGGACUGGAGCGGGGGUUGGAGGAGAGAAAAGAAAAGAAUGAACAACGCAGCUACUCAUUUCCGGUUCUCGGAACUUGGGACCGCUGGUACUGGCCUGAGAGGAGGUAGGUGAGUUGAAUUUCGGACUUGUCUCUGCUAUGGCUUAAGCUGUGUUGAGUUCUGUGCGCACUAGGGGGCCACCACUGCGGUGGCUAAAGUAGCUGGUAGGGCGCCCAGCUGCCUUGGGGACGGGACUAAGUAAGCAACCACAGCAGGUGGAGGUCUUCCAAGCGCAGCUUAGGCUGCUGAGGGAUGUGCUUAGCGAGGAGCUCGCAGAAGUUUCAACUAUAACAUUUCUAUAACAGUGACAGCAGCCUAGAGGAUGCCCUGACCCCACUGCGGACACAGGCCGCCAGACUCCAGGGUUGUUCUCAGCUAGUGAGAUCAGCUCCCAGCAACCCAGAGCUGAGUUGAUUUUCCGCCGUGCGUUCACUUCCCGAUUCCUGCUACCCAUUCUGGGUCCCACCCUUCCAUUCCACUCUCCAUAACUGCCUCCCGGAGUUGCUUCUCAUCCCGGGGUUAUGACAGGUUAAAUUUGGAGUCCUUGGCUUAUGGCUGGGGUUACUUCCCUGUUCUUUUCUCGGGCCCUCAAGGUAGCUCAGUUACAAACAGUAGAUCCUUUCUGUGAAUGGCACACAGCAUCUGAAUCAUACAGAGGGAUUCCUGCCUUCUGCUGACCUGUCACUGAGGUAUCAUUGUCUUACCAAAGCUCACACGUAGUUUUGAGGCUUGUGAGCUUGCUAUGAGGGAGGCCCAGAGCCACCUGGUCAGCUUUCUGCGGGCAUGGAGACAUAUUCCUCUUCUCUGUCCACGAGUGCUAUGGUUUGAACAUUCUUUCUCAUCACCAGAGUUCACACGGAAAGCCCCAGUGUGGGAGUGUUGAGAUGCCCUCAGACCUUUAAGAGGUCUCCCACCGUGAUGAUAAGGAACUAAACCAUUGUGAGCCAGCUCCAAAUUACAUGCUUUCCUAUAUAAGAGUUGCGUGGUCAUGGUGUCUCUUCACAGCAAUAGAUCAUUGACUAAGGCUGGUGGUGGCGGCAGCAGCAGAAGCAGCAGCAGCAUGUGGAGGCAGAGGCAGGAGAAUGAAUCUCUGAGAUCAAGACCAGUCUGGCAGUGCUACGCAGAGAACCCCUGUCUGAAAAGAAAAGAAAAAAGUUAAAACAAACAAACAAACUCCCAAACGAACAAUUAAGACAGUACUCAGUUCAAAUGUUCCAUCGCGGCAACAGAAAUCAGACUUAGACGGUAAGAUGUUCUUAUCUCCCUUUUCAGCUCAGAUGUAACCCCAUCUCACAGGCUUGCUGUUCUCGUUGUGUUCAGCUGGCCGUGGUGCUCCGUUGACGAUCCUCAGGAGCUCGAUUCGGUAUCGCUCCGCUCUGUUUGUAAUAGAAGACUCAGAGACUUAACAGCUACCCACCAUGCCUGUUGCCAUCUUCCAAGAAUCCUCCUCGUUGACUUUAAUGAGAAGAAAUUCACAUGAAUGAACACACAUAUGCACACAUAGACAGAAACAUAGACAGUUGGUUUAUGGAGUUCACCAGGCUCAAUACAAGCUUUAGGUGUUCAGGCCUCAGGGAUUCUUCGGUUUCUCUGCCAGUGACACUUGGGAUGUGUCCUACUGCCAAGAACCUUGGCUUAAAUCUUCUGGGCCUAACUCAAGUUAUCAGAGGCAAUCUGAAGACAUUUUCUGUCCUCAGUGUGCCAUGUGUUUUGAUCCUUGUAUCUGGGCAGGCAGGGCGCUCUAAAAUAGUGCUCAAUGGUUAAGAGCAUUUGUUACUCUUACACAGGACUUAGGUUUGGUUCCCAGCACCCAUGUGGUGGCUCACAACGGACUCCAGUUCCAACCAAUCCCAGUUCUACCAGCACCCACCCUCUCUACACCUCCUCCGGUACUAGGCACACACAUGGUGACUAAUACAUGCAGGCAAAACACUCAUACACAUAAAAUAAACAAACCUAAAAGAUU
rnacentral:sRNA from 1 species